AGCCCAGCUUGCUGGGUGGAUUAGUGGCGAACGGGUGAGUAACACGUGAGUAACCUGCCCUUAACUCUGGGAUAAGCCUGGGAAACUGGGUCUAAUACCGGAUAGGAGCGUCCACCGCAUGGUGGGUGUUGGAAAGAUUUAUCGGUUUUGGAUGGACUCGCGGCCUAUCAGCUUGUUGGUGAGGUAAUGGCUCACCAAGGCGACGACGGGUAGCCGGCCUGAGAGGGUGACCGGCCACACUGGGACUGAGACACGGCCCAGACUCCUACGGGAGGCAGCAGUGGGGAAUAUUGCACAAUGGGCGAAAGCCUGAUGCAGCGACGCCGCGUGAGGGAUGACGGCCUUCGGGUUGUAAACCUCUUUCAGUAGGGAAGAAGCGAAAGUGACGGUACCUGCAGAAGAAGCACCGGCUAACUACGUGCCAGCAGCCGCGGUAAUACGUAGGGUGCGAGCGUUAUCCGGAAUUAUUGGGCGUAAAGAGCUCGUAGGCGGUUUGUCGCGUCUGUCGUGAAAGUCCGGGGCUUAACCCCGGAUCUGCGGUGGGUACGGGCAGACUAGAGUGCAGUAGGGGAGACUGGAAUUCCUGGUGUAGCGGUGGAAUGCGCAGAUAUCAGGAGGAACACCGAUGGCGAAGGCAGGUCUCUGGGCUGUAACUGACGCUGAGGAGCGAAAGCAUGGGGAGCGAACAGGAUUAGAUACCCUGGUAGUCCAUGCCGUAAACGUUGGGCACUAGGUGUGGAGACCAUUCCACGGUUUCCGCGCCGCAGCUAACGCAUUAAGUGCCCCGC
rnacentral:rRNA from 1 species